rnacentral:rRNA from 1 species
UACGUAGGGUCCGAGCGUUAAUCGGAAUUACUGGGCUUAGAGCGUGCGCAGGCGGUUUUGUAAGCCAGAUGUGAAAUCCCCGGGCUCAACCUGGGAACUGCAUUUGGGACUGCAAGGCUAGAGUACGGCAGAGGGGGGUAGAAUUCCUGGUGUAGCAGUGAAAUGCGUAGAUAUCAGGAGGAAUACCGAUGGCGAAGGCAGCCCCCUGGGUCGAUACUGACGCUCAUGCACGAAAGCGUGGGGAGCAAACAGG